GAUGAACGCUGGCGGCGUGCCUAAUACAUGCAAGUCGAGCGAACAGACGAGGAGCUUGCUCCUCUGACGUUAGCGGCGGACGGGUGAGUAACACGUGGAUAACCUACCUAUAAGACUGGGAUAACUUCGGGAAACCGGAGCUAAUACCGGAUAAUAUAUUGAACCGCAUGGUUCAAUAGUGAAAGACGGUUUUGCUGUCACUUAUAGAUGGAUCCGCGCCGCAUUAGCUAGUUGGUAAGGUAACGGCUUACCCAGGCAACGAUGCGUAGCCGACCUGAGAGGGUGAUCGGCCACACUGGAACUGAGACACGGUCCAGACUCCUACGGGAGGCAACAGUAGGGAAUCUUCCGCAAUGGGCGAAAGCCUGACGGAGCAACGCCGCGUGAGUGAUGAAGGUCUUCGGAUCGUAAAACUCUGUUAUUAGGGAAGAACAAAUGUGUAAGUAACUAUGCACGUCUUGACGGUACCUAAUCAGAAAGCCACGGCUAACUACGUG
rnacentral:rRNA from 1 species